GGAGAACACCACACCAGGAGCUGGCGAGGACCAUCAGCCUGGUGCUGCAAUGUAGCCAGCAGAUCCAGAAGUAGUACAGAAAGUGUGACACACACGUGGGUCAGGAGGUCCAACUGAAGAUAGGUUAUGGGCAUGGAUCCGAUGUCUUGGUCAGAAUGCCUUACGCCUUACGCAAGAUGCCUUACACAAGCUUAUCCAAGACCCAAUGAGCCACCGCUCGGAAGGGGAAGGUGCCAUGAGGCCUGCUAUUCUCUUGCCCAGUGAUCCUAACGUGGAGAAGGUGCUUAGGAAGUACAUGCCAGACACUGCUCUCGGAAAG